GACGAACGCUGGCGGCGUGCUUAACACAUGCAAGUCGAACGGAAAGGCCCUUGCUUGCAGGGGUACUCGAGUGGCGAACGGGUGAGUAACACGUGGGUGAUCUGCCUUGUACUUCGGGAUAAGCCUGGGAAACUGGGUCUAAUACCGGAUAGGACCAUGCUUAGUGUGUGUGGUGGAAAGUUUUUUCGGUACAAGAUGAGCCCGCGGCCUAUCAGCUUGUUGGUGGGGUAAUGGCCUACCAAGGCGACGACGGGUAGCCGGCCUGAGAGGGUGUACGGCCACAUUGGGACUGAGACACGGCCCAG
rnacentral:rRNA from 1 species